rnacentral:rRNA from 1 species
CAGUCGAACGCUUCUUUUUCACCGGAGCUUGCUCCACCGGAAAAAGAGGAGUGGCGAACGGGUGAGUAACACGUGGGUAACCUGCCCAUCAGAAGGGGAUAACACUUGGAAACAGGUGCUAAUACCGUAUAACAAUCAAAACCGCAUGGUUUUGAUUUGAAAGGCGCUUUCGGGUGUCGCUGAUGGAUGGACCCGCGGUGCAUUAGCUAGUUGGUGAGGUAACGGCUCACCAAGGCCACGAUGCAUAGCCGACCUGAGAGGGUGAUCGGCCACAUUGGGACUGAGACACGGCCCAAACUCCUACGGGAGGCAGCAGUAGGGAAUCUUCGGCAAUGGACGAAAGUCUGACCGAGCAACGCCGCGUGAGUGAAGAAGGUUUUCGGAUCGUAAAACUCUGUUGUUAGAGAAGAACAAGGAUGAGAGUAACUGUUCAUCCCUUGACGGUAUCUAACCAGAAAGCCACGGCUAACUACGUGCCAGCAGCCGCGGUAAUACGUAGGUGGCAAGCGUUGUCCGGAUUUAUUGGGCGUAAAGCGAGCGCAGGCGGUUUCUUAAGUCUGAUGUGAAAGCCCCCGGCUCAACCGGGGAGGGUCAUUGGAAACUGGGAGACUUGAGUGCAGAAGAGGAGAGUGGAAUUCCAUGUGUAGCGGUGAAAUGCGUAGAUAUAUGGAGGAACACCAGUGGCGAAGGCGGCUCUCUGGUCUGUAACUGACGCUGAGGCUCGAAAGCGUGGGGAGCAAACAGGAUUAGAUACCCUGGUAGUCCACGCCGUAAACGAUGAGUGCUAAGUGUUGGAGGGUUUCCGCCCUUCAGUGCUGCAGCUAACGCAUUAAGCACUCCGCCUGGGGAGUACGACCGCAAGGUUGAAACUCAAAGGAAUUGACGGGGGCCCGCACAAGCGGUGGAGCAUGUGGUUUAAUUCGAAGCAACGCGAAGAACCUUACCAGGUCUUGACAUCCUUUGACCACUCUAGAGAUAGAGCUUCCCCUUCGGGGGCAAAGUGACAGGUGGUGCAUGGUUGUCGUCAGCUCGUGUCGUGAGAUGUUGGGUUAAGUCCCGCAACGAGCGCAACCCUUAUUGUUAGUUGCCAUCAUUCAGUUGGGCACUCUAGCAAGACUGCCGGUGACAAACCGGAGGAAGGUGGGGAUGACGUCAAAUCAUCAUGCCCCUUAUGACCUGGGCUA